rnacentral:miRNA from 1 species
UGCUCAGGUUGCACAGCUGGGA